UACGUAGGGUGCAAGCGUUAUCCGGAUUUAUUGGGCGUAAAGGGCUCGUAGGCGGUUCGUCGCGUCCGGUGUGAAAGUCCAUCGCUUAACGGUGGAUCCGCGCCGGGUACGGGCGGGCUUGAGUGCGGUAGGGGAGACUGGAAUUCCCGGUGUAACGGUGGAAUGUGUAGAUAUCGGGAAGAACACCAAUGGCGAAGGCAGGUCUCUGGGCCGUUACUGACGCUGAGGAGCGAAAGCGUG
rnacentral:rRNA from 1 species